rnacentral:SRP_RNA from 1 species
UGCCGGUCCUCUCGCAACGAUAGAAUGUGAACCUGGUCAGGUCCGGAAGGAAGCAGCCAUAGCAUUUGAUUCGGGUGCCGGGAUGUGGCUGGUGGAG